GAUGAAGAACGUAGCGAAAUGCGAUAAUUAAUGUGAAUUGCAGAAUUCCGUGAAUCAUCGAGUCUUUGAACGCACAUUGCGCCUCAUGGAAUUCCGUGAGGCAUGCCCAUCUCAGCGUUAGAAAAUAUUCUCAAAUUUUAGUUUUGUGCUAAAAUUUGGAUCAUGUCAAGGAAGCUAUUACUAUUAUUGUGAUCGCUCUUUGGAAAUUGAUAGGUCUUUGAGUUGCUACUCAUAGAACGUGAUGAAUCUUUCUUCGUUCUAUUGUAAUUCACUCUGGUAGUCCUAAAACUUGUAUGCCUGUGGCAUAUCUUGUAAUUUGACCUGAGAUUGGGUAGGGAUACCCGCUGAACUUAAGCAUAUCAAUAAGCGGAGGA
rnacentral:misc_RNA from 1 species